rnacentral:rRNA from 1 species
GAUGAACGCUGGCGGCGUGCCUAAUACAUGCAAGUCGAGCGAACGGACGAGAAGCUUGCUUCUCUGAUGUUAGCGGCGGACGGGUGAGUAACACGUGGAUAACCUACCUAUAAGACUGGGAUAACUUCGGGAAACCGUAGCUAAUACCGGAUAAUAUUUUGAACCGCAUGGUUCAAAAGUGAAAGACGGUCUUGCUGUCACUUAUAGAUGGUUCCGCGCUGCAUUAGCUAGUUGGUAAGGUAACGGCUUACCAAGGCAACGAUGCAUAGCCGACCUGAGAGGGUGAUCGGCCACACUGGAACUGAGACACGGUCCAGACUCCUACGGGAGGCAGCAGUAGGGAAUCUUGCGCAAUGGGCGAAAGCCUGACGGAGCAACGCCGCGUGAGUGAUGAAGGUCUUCGGAUCGUAAAACUCUGUUAUUAGGGAAGAAAAUAUGUGUAAGUAACUGUGCACAUCUUGACGGUACCUAAUCAGAAAGCAACGGCUAACUACGUG